UACGGAGGGAGCUAGCGUUGAUCGGAAUUACUGGGCGUAAAGCGCACAUAGGCGGCUUUGUAAGUUAGAGGUGAAAGCCCGGGGCUCAACUCCGGAACUGCCUUUAAGACUGCAUCGCUUGAAUCCAGGAGAGGUGAGUGGAAUUCCGAGUGUAGAGGUGAAAUUCGUAGAUAUUCGGAAGAACACCAGUGGCGAAGGCGGCUCACUGGACUGGUAUUGACGCUGAGGUGCGAAAGCGUGGGGAGCAAACAGG
rnacentral:rRNA from 1 species